GCUAAUUUUUAACAAUACAGGCAACUUUAGUUAUAACUAAAGCCCAGUUCCCUCCCCUGCAGAGGUAGCCUGCCCUGUCCAGCCUGCCCAGUCCCGCCUGCCCUGUCCCGCCUGCCCUGUCCUGCCUGCCCAUUUGCAAAUAAGAUAAAAUCCCUACGUCUCUUGGGACAAUUAAGAGCUUCCAAGGCCUGCAGCGGGAAGCUGAGAUGCGCUCCUGGCUGUGGGGGCUGCCCAGUUCCAGUCCGGGUCCCACCCUUGUUUGGCACCCUGCCUUGCCUGUUCUGAAAGCUGGAAGCAUCUGGGUGUGGCUGGCCCCAGACACCAUGGGAGACAGGACUGUGCUCCAGGAUGCCAAAGGGAGUGCCUUCUGGCCAAGACUUCCCCAGUGCUCACCCCAGCAGGAUCUGGACAGUUCUGUGGCUCCCUGUUUUUUUUUGGGCGAUCUGAUGACAUGGCAGCCCCUUGCCACAGACACCAAGAUAGAUGUUCCCGGAGCGCAGAGCCCUGGGGAUGCGGAAGGACAGCCUCUGUGAAGAUGGUCACCACAGCAGGAGCCAUUAGUCACCAAGGAUCAUUUGACAUUUUGAAAUGAACUCCUGAGCUCUCUUAAGUAAGCUGGAAUACUGAAUCAUGCCUAAAGCGGUGGCUGUGUGGGGGGCUGGGGGUCCCCGCCAGGAGGGGAGGGAUGCUGGGUGCAGUGCCUCAAUGUGGAGAAGUGAGCAGCACAGCGCAUGCGCUGCCUGUGGUCCCUCCGCUGGGGCUGCAGCCAACGUCAAUUUUGGCGGUAUGGGUGGGUGACCUUGCUUAUCAUCGACCUUUGUGACAAGACUUACUGGCUCCUCUGCAGGAACUUACCAGCGAAUGUCAGCUGAAACCUGAGUUGGCUGAGGCCUAGGCCAAAGGCCCUUCUAGCUGUCCUUUCUCAGGCCCAGAGGAUGCUCACGGAGAAAAGCCAUCAGUCAGUUGAGCCCAUCUCUGGCACCAAAGCUCACAAUGAGGCUAUGCCGAGGAAACUGGCUUUUCAUAGUUAGAUUUGGUUUUCUUCCCUGAGCAUGACAAACGGUACUUUAUGAAGACUCCCUAAAUGCUGGGCAUUGUUCAAUACUUGGAAUCAUGUAAUCCUCACAGCCACCCUGUGAGGAGGGGCUUUCUGUGUCCCUAUCGUAUGGAUGAGAAACAGAAGGCUUGCAGAGACUUUCUUGAGGUGACUUGUCCAGAGGGGCACAGCGAGCGAGUUGUGACUAGGACUCAACGCAGCCACAAAAGAUUGGCUCUCAACCACGGAUCCUGCCACCCCCGGAGCUUUAGGAAACCAGGCUCAUUACAGGUUCUGAUCAAGUGAGGGAUGGAUGGGGCUUCCAGCUGAGGCCCUGGAGCCGUCGGGCAGUGUUAAAUUUCUUACAGCCAGCUACAUAUGGGACAUUCCAACCCAGGUGUGGUCAAGUGAGCCUCUGUCAUGCAGGGUUUCCUAGGUGACCGAGGGGAAUAAUGAUUUUUGUUUUUUUUUUUUUGAGACAGAGUCUUGCUUGGUGGCUCAGGCUGGAGUGCAGUGGGUCGAUUAUGGCUCACUACAGCCUAAACCUCCCGGGAUCAAGCUCCAAUCUCAGCCUACAGAGUAGCUAGGGUCACAUGGGUCCAAGAGGUAAACCCAGAUUUUCUGUUAUAAUCCCAAGGUCAUUCUACUCCAGCCCUAAGGUACCUCCCUCUUUCACUCCUGCAGCCUGUGCUUUUUUAUAUUGUUUUAGACAGUCUCACUCUGUCACCCAGGCCAGAGUACUCAGCUCACUGCAACCUCUGCCUCCCAGGUUGAAGUGAUUCUCAUGCCUCAGCCUCCCAAGUAUCUGGGAUUACAAGCACUCACCACCAUGCCUGGCUAAUUUUUGUAUCUUUAGUAGAGAUGGGGUUUCACCAUGUGGAUCAGGCUGGUCUCAAACUCCUGGUCUGAAGUGAUCCGCCUGCCUUGGCCUCCUGAAGUGCUGAGUUUACAGGCAUGAACCACUGCACCCAGCCUGUGCGGUCUUAUAAGAUUCAUUGGUGAAUGGGCACAUUCAUUUGCUAGGAAUACUUAGAUGUUUGUUUACAAAUGGAUAUCUCCCCAACCAGAUUCUGAGCUCUUUUAAUCAACUCAACACAUUAUGAAACAAACAAACAACAACAAUGCAAGCAGACUAAAAAAAACCAAGUGCGUCUUGUCCCCAGGUAGGAACUUCCCCGUAAAUCUCCUCAUCUUCCAGCACCCCCUUCUCCCCUGCACAGCCAGCAUGGGUUCUGGGGUAGGGUUUAUGUUUCCAAAAGUGCCUAAGAGGAACUUGCUUAUCAUUAGUUCUCCAAAUCUGAGGAAGUCUCUUUUGUUUGCUUGUGUGAAAAUGAAUGUAUAUUUUACCCGGUACACACACAGACACACGUGUGAAUGCGCACACAUACACGUGUGUGUGUAUAUAUAAUACAUAUGUUAGUCAAGCACAGAGAACAAAAUUUGGAGAAGUGCCAGAUCAUGAAGAGUGUUUAAUCCCGGGGUAGGGCCAAAAUGUCUUUAUAGGCAAUUUUCAUCCUUUGUGCAUGCUUGCAGCUUAUCCAAAAAACAUUCUCAAAAUAAAAUAUUGAGUAUGUAUAAAAGAAUAUCAGUAAAAUCGCUUCUUGGCCUUUUGGCUAAGAUCAAGUGCAAAAGAAUAUCAGUAAAAUGUAAGUAAGGUAUGAAGAGACACUCAUAUACUCACCACCUGGGCAAAGAAGUAGAACACAUGACUAAUUCCUCUGAAGUCCCCUGUUAGUCCUUCCCAAAGCCAUCCCUGCCCUUAGCCUUCAGAGGUAACCAUGUCCCUGAAUUCUGUGUUUAUCAGUCUAACUUUUCCUUUAGUUUUACUAUAUAUGUUUGCAGCCCACAAGAGCUGUCUGUUUCAUUUUGUUUUUACAUUUUUAAUAAAUGGAAACAUACUCUAAGUACUUUUCUGCAACUUGGGAGAUUAAUCCAUGUUGCUGCAUAUAGUUCAUUCAUUUUCAGUGAGUAAAGUUUAUUCAUUUUCAAUGCCAUAUAGUAUUUCAUUGUUUGAAUGUAUUACAAUGUAUUUUAUCAUUCUUGAACAGCUGCAUUGUUUAUAGUUUUUACUUUUUAAUAUUAUAAGCGAGGCUAUUAUGAACAUUUUUGUACAGUUCUCAUGGUGUUACACAUUGCCAUUGAGAAAAAUAUCUGAGAGGAAUUUCCGGUCAUACAGUAUGUACAUAUUUAACUUUACUAGAUGAUGUCAGUCUUCCAAAGUGGUUGUACAAACUUAUACUCCCACCACCGUCUUUGGAAGUUUCCAUUGAUCCUCUUCCUCAUCAACAUUCAGCAAUUCUUGUGAGGCUUCUUAAUUUUAGCUGCUGGGUAGGUGAGUAAUAGUGUCUCACUGUAGUUGUAAUUUGCAUUUUGCUGAUUACCAAUGAGGUUUAGCACAUUUUCAUGUUUAUCGGCCAUUUAGAAGUCUUUUCGGAAGUGCCUGUUCGAUUAAGUUUUUUUCUUUUUUCUUUUUCCUCUGAUGCUGAAACUGAAAACCUGCCCAAUACUUUAGUCUAUUUUUCUAUUGGGUUUUUUAAAAUUGCAUUUUAGGUUUUGGGGUACAUGUGAAAAACAUGCAAGACUGUUGCAUAGGCACACACAGAGCCGUGUGUUUUGCUGCCUUCCUCCCCAUCACCUAUAUCUGGCAUUUCUCCCCAUGCUAUCUCUUACCAACUCCCCACCACCUGCUGUCCCUCUCCUGUUUCCCCCCAACAGACCCCAGUGUGUGAUGAUCCCCUGCCGGUGUCCAUGUGUUCUCAUUGUUCAACACCCACCUGUGAGUGAGAACAUGCGGUAUUUGAUUUUCUGUUCUUGUGUCAGUUUGCUGAGAAUGAUGGUUUCUAGGUUCAUCCAUGUCCCUCCAAAGGACACGAACUCAUCAUUUUUGAUGGCUGCAUAAUAUUCCAUGGUGUAUAUAUGCCACAUUUUCCCUGUCCAGUUCAUCAUCGAUGGGCAUUUGGGUUGGUUCCAGGUCUUUGCUAUUGUGAACAGUGCUGCAAUGAACAUUCGUGUACAUGUGUCCUUGUAGUAGAACGAUUUAUAAUCUUUUGGAUAUAUACCCAGUAAUGGGAUUGCUGGGUCAAAUGGAAUUUCUAUUUCUAGGUCCUUGAGGGAUUGCUACACUGUCUUCCACAAUGGUUGAACUAAUUUACACUCCCACCAGCAGUGUAAAAGUGUUCCUGUUUCUCCACAUCCUCUCCAGCAUCUGUUGUCUCCAUAUUUUUUAAUGAUCACCAUUCUAACUGGCAUGAGAUGGUAUCUCAGUGUAGUUUUGAUUUGUGUUUCUCUAAUGACCAGUGAUGAUGAGUGUUUUUUCGUAUGUUUGUUUGCCUCAUGUAUGUCUUCUUUUGUAAAGUGUCUGUUUAUAUCCUUUGCCCACUUUUGAAUGGGUUUUUUUUCUUAUAAAUCUGUUUUAGUUCUUUGUAGAUUCUGGAUAUCAGCCCUUUGUCAGAUGAGUAGACUGCAAAAAUUUUUUCCCAUUCUAUUGGUUGCCAGUUCACUCUAAUGACUGUUUCUUUUGCUGUACAGAAGCUGUGGAGUUUGAUUAGGUCCCAUUUGUCUAUUUUGGCUUUUGUUGCCAAUGCUUUUGGUGUUUUGGUCAUGAAGUCCUUGCCUACACCUACGUCCUGAAUGGUUUUGCCUAGAUUUUCUUCUAGGGUUUUUAUGGUGUUAGGUCUUAUGUUUACGUCUUUAAUCAAUCUGGAGUUAAUUUUAGUGUCAGGUGUUGGGAAGGGGUCCAGUUUCUGCUUUCUGCACAUGGCUAGCCAGUUUUCCCAACACCAUUUAUUAAACAGGGACUCAUUUCCCCAUUGUUUGUUUUUGUCAGGUUUGUCAAAGAUCAGAUGGUUGUAGUUGUGUUGUGUUGCCUCUGAUGCCUCUAUUCUGUUCCAUUGGUCUAUAUCUCUGUUUUAGUACCAGUACUGUACUGUUUUGAUUACUGUAGGCUUGUGGUAUAUUUUGAAGUCCGGUAGUGUGAUGCCUCCCACUGUGUUCUUUUUGCUUAGAAUUGAGUUGGCUAUGCCAGCUCUCUUUUGGUUCCAUAUGAAGUUUAAGGUGGUUUUUUCCAGUUCUGUGAAGAAGGUCAUUGAUAGCUUGAUGGGGAUAGUAGUGAAUUUGUAAAUUACUUUGGGCAGUAUGGCCAUUUUCACGAUAUUGAUUCUUCCUAAUCAUGAACAUGGAAUGUUUCUCCAUCUGUUUGUGUCCUCUCUUAUUUCGUUGAGCAGUGAUUUGUAGUUCUCCUUGAAGAGGUCCUUUACAUUUCUUGUUAGUUGUAUUCCUAGGUAUUUUAUUGUCUCUGUAGCAAUUGUGAAUGGCAGUUUGUUCUUGAUUUGGCUCUCUUUAAGUCUGUUAUUGGUGUAUAGGAAUGCUUGUGAUUUCUGCACAUUGAUUUUGUAUCCCGAGACUUUGCUGAAGUUGCUUAGCAGUAUCAGGAGAUUU
ensembl:lncRNA